GGGGGUUUGUGAAAGUUUUGUGAAUGCAAAUGAACUAAAUUAAAACACAGAUGCAAAAGAAAUAUAAAAGAAAUGCAAACAGAAAUGUAAAAACGGAAUCAAAUACAGAAUAAAAAUGGUUGGUCAUUAACUCAUUACUAUGCUUCCUAUCCCAGAUUAACGACAAGUACACACUACUCUAAUCCAAAUCCGACACGAAUCACCCAACUAAGC
rnacentral:lncRNA from 1 species